GCCCUGCCCCAGCCGCGGUCACACGCCCUCGCCCCGCCUCCGAGGGGAGGCUCGGCUGCUGGGUUCAGUUUGCAGCCGGAGAAGGUGGGGGCAUUGCCAGUGUCGAGUGGGUUGAUCCUCCCUGGGUCCUUUUGCAAAUUUAGGACCGUGCCCAGAGUCCCGUCAGGAGCGGGACGCCUACCCUGCACCGUCGUGCGCGCUUCAGGGGCAUUAUUGCAAAAUAGAUGCAGCACUAGGGCAGUUUGCUUCUUCCUGGAUAAAUAAUUUGCAACUUCUUUGUCUGCCAAGACUACUGUGAACAUAUACUCUGGUGACCUGGACAUUAUCACAAGCCUCAGAGCAUGGAUCCUUCUGGCAGAGAAAAGGUGACGUCACUUUCCUUUAAGAACUUUUUAUAUGGGUCCUUUGUGAUCCUCUCCUAGGAGGAUUUCUGCCCUUUCUAUCAGC
rnacentral:lncRNA from 10 species